GACAGAGGGUGCAAACGUUGUUCGGAAUUACUGGGCGUAAAGCGCGUGUAGGCGGCCCUGUAAGUCGGGUGUGAAAUCCCACGGCUCAACCGUGGAAGUGCAUUCGAAACUACAGGGCUAGAGUUCUGGAGAGGAAGGUGGAAUGCUUGGUGUAGAGGUGAAAUUCGUGGAUAUCAAGCGGAACACCGGUGGCGAAGGCGGCCUUCUGGACAGUAACUGACGCUGAGACGCGAAAGCGUGGGGAGCAAACAGG
rnacentral:rRNA from 1 species